UCAUGUGCUAGGGUUACCCCACAGGUUUUGGUACAUCCCACAUCCAAUUUUCUGAACGAUUGAUUCUAUUGGCCUGGCUGAAAUUUUAGAGCUGGAAAGCUUGUCUAGGAAAUACCCCUCCCACUUGGGUUUUAGAAAACAGACGGAUACAACUAGGAUUUAUGGCCUUAGGAAUAAAUUAGGGCAUAUCAUCAGGGUAUAAACCCUCUAGGCCUUUUUAUUACUCUACACUCUAUAAAUAAAGGCUCGAUAAGCCUUCGUGGUUGCUCAUCGACUCGUGAAAAUAGGUGUGCCACAUUGGAGAGAGAGGGAAAAGAGAAGAACUUAAUGGAUGAGAGAGAAAUUCUUGGGCAUGGAGCAGUGAAAAACAACAUGAGAG
rnacentral:lncRNA from 1 species